GGCUCCAUCGUGUAGUGGUUAGCAUGUCUACUUUACAUGCAGAAGGUGCUGGGUUCACAUAUUAAUGGAGCCA
rnacentral:tRNA from 1 species